rfam:Zootermopsis nevadensis contig32203, whole genome shotgun sequence.
CGGUGGUCUAGCGGUUAGAACGCUGGCCUUGUAAUCCUGGGGUCUCGGGUUCGAUUCCCGGCUG